AAACCAACAGGGAUUGCCCCAGUAGCGGCGAGUGAAGCGGCAAGAGCUCAGAUUUGAAAUCGUGUUUCGGCACGAGUUGUAGAGUGUAGGCGGGAGUCUCUGUGGAGCGCGGUGUCCAAGUCCCUUGGAACAGGGUGCCUGAGAGGGUGAGAGCCCCGUAGGGUGCUGCGCGAAGCUUUUGAGGCCCUGCUGACGAGUCGAGUUGUUUGGGAAUGCAGCUCCAAGCGGGUGGUAAAUUCCAUCUAAGGCUAAAUAUUGGCGAGAGACCGAUAGCGAACAAGUACUGUGAAGGAAAGAUGAAAAGCACUUUGAAAAGAGAGUGAAACAGCACGUGAAAUUGUUGAAAGGGAAGGGUAUUGGGCUCGACAUGGGGGGUGUGCACCGCUGUCUCUUGUAGGCGGCGCUCUGGGCGCCCUCUGGGCCAGCAUCGGUUCCUGCUGCGGGAGAAGGGGCUCCGGAAAGUGGCUCUUCGGAGUGUUAUAGCCGGGGCCAGAUGCCGCGUGUGGGGACCGAGGACUGCGGCUUCUGUCUCGGAUGCUGGCAUAACGGCGCAAUACCGC
rnacentral:rRNA from 1 species